rfam:Drosophila ananassae strain TSC#14024-0371.13 Ctg01_18793, whole genome shotgun sequence.
UUGUCUUUAUGAUGAACAACCUUUUAAAAACAGUUAUCCCUGUCAUAAAAGAACAAUUGAUGAUGCAGUUUGCUGACAUUUAC